CCGGUAUACAUAUAUUUUAGGUAAGUCUUCCAAUUGCCACUAAAUCCUUGGAAAAUGGACUUCCUUGGAAAAUGAACUCUUAGACUGGGCCUAUCUGUUUCGAGCUUGUGGCGUUCGGUGGAUUUAUCUUUCCAACCAGAAGUCUUAUUUUUUCAAAAUAAGCCUACUCGAUUUACACGUCUGGUGUAGUACAGUAUUCAAAUUGACUGAACUUGUUCCAACAACUUUAUCGUCUAACUGACUCACCGUGGGUUAAAACUAGUCUUUAUCUGGCAUCGCUUUGUUGUCUUUCAAGUGAGUAAACUCUUUUACCAUCAUGACAAAAGCUUUCACAACCUCUACUAAAUCGGCACCUUUAUCUUUUAUCGGCCAUAUCGGAAGCAUGACACAUGUAAGUUGCGAUGUAAUCCUUGUCUCCUCCUGCGUUGCUAGAAUGUUUCAGACGACCUAUAAGCUUGUGUUUCUGUUAAAAUUGGCGACACGUUACAUUUCUUAUAUAGUCUUUUUAUUCCUUCUGCCAUUUUAUGGAAAGGUUCCCCCUUACCAUUUACAAGAACGUGUCGGUUGUGUUCUAG
rnacentral:lncRNA from 1 species